GUUUGGUGCACAUAAACCAAUGCUUGCUUCUGAAAUGCUCUUCGUAGACCACAGAACACCGUAAUUCUAUCGAGCGGUUCUUCGAAUCGCCUGAUUAGCAUGCAACUAUUCAGAUCCAUUUGUGAAAACAAAACCCGUCGCGACGUGUCGCCCCUCCUCGAACAGAGAUAGACCCCGCUGAAGAGGUCGUUUAGAUGGAAACAAACAGUGACAUCAGCCAGCCAGCACUAACAGCAACAGGCGCAGUCAAAGUCUCUUUCCUGAGUUCAUCAUCAUCAGAGCCCCUGGCUCCUAGUAUCAACAGUGAGUUGUCUGUCUGAAGGUGGGCGCGCGUGCGCGAGUGAGCAACUUCGUCCAUCAAGUCUCUCCAUGGUAGAUAUAGUACCGUUUAAGAUUCGACUCAUUAUAAACAACUUCAUCAGCCAGUCAGCCAGCCAGCCAGCCAGCAUCGGUGCGGUGCGCCCAAUUAACACAUUUGGCGAAGCGCAUCUACACAUCGUAUCGCUUUGAUACUCACAACACGACACAUCCAGACUCUUACGGGCACAGGUUCGCCUUAGGGGGCGCUUUGCGAGAUGAAUUGCAUCUUGACCAGAUUUGCCUGCGUUCGACGACGGUGAUGAUGGUGCUGAAGGUAUGUGCAUUGUUUACAACACAUAUUGACAGAUGAAAUAUAAUGAUAAAUAUUUUAGCAGUGGCCCCGGCAGCGGACGGGGCACCAAGUUGUUUGGGUGAAGCUUUUAACUGCAACCAUGCAGGGGCUACUGCUGUUGUUGUUAUUGCUUCUUACCGGAGGGAAGCAGUGGUUUCCAAUCCAAGGUGGAUGUUUUUGAGUCAACCCGUAAAAAGUUGUUCAAACACGUGCCCGGCAGAUGAAAUCUUCCAACAAUGAACGGUUGAUCUAUAAUUAUACCACGCUCUGGUAUUUAUCAAUCAUACCUUUAGACGAGGGAUACAUGCUCCAUGUAGCUGUGAUCAGCCUUAAUUAUCUUCAAACAAAUUGAACCCUUGUGGAUGCUGGCAAGCAAAACUCAAACUCUACCUAUCGUCAAACUGAAAAUGCACGUAAUUCAGUUGAAUUUUUACUUUUUCUAAGAAUGAUUGAAAAAAAGAUUGAUGUAAACUAUGCCUAAAGCAGUCCCGGUUGAAGUGAAAUUUUCAAAGAAAAUUGUUGUAAAAUUGUUCGGCCGUAGACUUCGGUCAGAAACACUCAGAAAGUUUGCAAACCCAUGGCGGUCAGAGGCAUUCGCUGCCUGUCUUCUUUUGUUGUCUCCCCAACAACAACGGAGCGAUGAUGGAUAUUUGUCCAAAGUACGUCUCGGAUCGUAAUCUCUGCGCGGCAGCAGCGCGAUGCAGAUUGUAUUGAUUUGCCACUGACGCGUCGUCGCUUUGUCGUCGUCGUCGAGCGUUGAUUGCGGCAUUGUGCACUUUUUUGGCGCAUUUGCACGAAUCAUUAAAAACCAUUCCAUUUGAUCCGUUUGUAUUUGUUUGGUGAGUGAUUACUUCACAAAUCAAAACCAAUCCUCAGUCGGCGACUAAACAUCAGAAGGCUAAGUGGUUCAACUUACCUAAAGUUGUUGGUCAAGUUCGCGAACCGACCGCAAGACUCCCCGUGCGCUUUUGUUUGGUUUGGCAAUCGCGAACACGUUUCGAGACUGUUUUUAUCUGGUGUAUUUUAUAUUUACAGGUAAUAAGUAGUUUUGCGCACUUCAGUUUGGAAGGUGGUCUAUGUUUGACGGGCUAAAGUGUACCCGCUGGGCACGUGUCUAUAUUGGCUGUUAAGUUGUCAAAUGAAGCUAAUUAUUACCUAAUAAGUUUUGAUUG